rnacentral:rRNA from 1 species
AUUCCAGCUCCAAUAGCGUAUAUUAAAGUUGUUGCGGUUAAAACGCUCGUAGUUGUACUUCUGUUGAGAAUAACCCGUCUGCCUUCUGGGUAUGUAUGUGGUCUAUUCUUGGCAUACUCUUGGGAUCUUGUCUGCACUUGACUGUGUGGGUAAUACUCCAGGACUUUUACUUUGAGGAAAUUAGAGUGUUUCACGCAGGCUAUGCUUGAAUACAUUAGCAUGGAAUAAUGAUAAAGAACCUAUGUGCAACUUGUUGGUUUGUGCGUGUGGGUGUUGUUCAAUAGGAACAGUUGGGGCAUUUGUAUUUAACUGUCAGAGGUGAAAUUUCUUAGAUUUGUUUAAAGACAAACUUAUGCGAAAGCAUUUUGCCAAGGAUGUUUUUCAUUGAUCAAGAACGAAAGUUAGGGGAUCGAAGACGAUCAGAUACCGUCCUAGUCUUAACCAUAAACUAUGCCAACUAGAGAUUGGGGGUGUUUUUGUUUGUACUCC